GCCCACGUCGCUUAAUCCGGUAUAGCGCCAGAUUAGAAAUCUGGUUCGUUUCGAAUUGGCGGUUCAAAUCCGUCCGUGGGCG
rnacentral:tRNA from 1 species